AUUGAACGCUGGCGGCAGGCCUAACACAUGCAAGUCGAGCGGAUGAAGGGAGCUUGCUCCUUGAUUUAGCGGCGGACGGGUGAGUAAUGCCUAGGAAUCUGCCUGGUAGUGGGGGAUAACGUCCGGAAACGGGCGCUAAUACCACAUACGUCCUACGGGAGAAAGCAGGGGACCUUCGGGCCUUGCGCUAUCAGAUGAGCCUAGGUCGGAUUAGCUAGUUGGUGAGGUAAUGGCUCACCAAGGCGACGAUCCGUAACUGGUCUGAGAGGAUGAUCAGUCACACUGGAACUGAGACACGGUCCAGACUCCUACGGGAGGCAGCAGUGGGGAAUAUUGGACAAUGGGCGAAAGCCUGAUCCAGCCAUGCCGCGUGUGUGAAGAAGGUCUUCGGAUUGUAAAGCACUUUAAGUUGGGAGGAAGGGCAUUAACCUAAUACGUUAGUGUUUUGACGUUACCGACAGAAUAAGCACCGGCUAACUUCGUGCCAGCAGCCGCCGUAACAC
rnacentral:rRNA from 1 species